ensembl:snoRNA SNORA70 Small nucleolar RNA SNORA70
ACAGGUGCAAAUAACCCCAAGUUUUCCCCCAUGGGACCUAAUGACUGCAGAGAGCGGCCUCCUUAGUAGUGUGGGCAGUCUGUUGCAUUUACAGGUUCUCCUGGAGGACCUGGGAGAAAACG